rnacentral:lncRNA from 10 species
CCUUCACCUUCUGAGGCCUCCCCAGCCAUGUGGAACGGUCCUCUCAGAUCUACCAUGUGAGUGCACACAUCCUUCCAGUCAACCAGAGAUUCUGUGCAUUUCUUCUGGAGAGAUCUGAUGCACAGUGAUAACUCGGCGAUACCUACACAAACUGUAGGCCAUUUUCCAGUGAUUGAAGCCACUGUUCUGGAAAGGAUGUAUGCCCAGCUUUCGAAGACACAGUCCCACAUAUACGUCUUCAAGGUGAAGCAGCCUUGUGUGGAGUGAGGUCUUGUAAAUGAGUUCAGCUACAUCGGCUGAAAAGAUGUAGCCAGUCCCCGAACAGAAAGGAAGUUAGUGGGGCAGAAUUUUCAAUUUAAGAAGCACGUAUUUCUCCUAGAAACUGCAUGGUAGAUUGUCUGUUAUUCUGAAUAAUUUAUUUCAAGAAACCCACAGAAUUGCUGAAAUUCUUUUGUACAGCCAGAGGUGGGGUCGCUUUGGGACUCUGAGAUUCUCACGCAGGAAGUUUACUGGAGCAUGUUCUUAGGAACAACACCUGUCUCUAAUGUGAGAGGAGAAAGAAGAAGGCAAAGGGAGAGUCUGAACCUUGAUGCAGUCACAGCACAGACCUGAGCUGACCCUGCAGGGAGCUCUGGGGCUGGGAUGGUUCUGCAGAGUCCAGUGCGUGCCAGGCCAGCUUGCAUGGGCUUGGGCAGAGCUGGUGGUGCGCACUUCUUCCCAACUUCACAUUCAAUGACAUCAUGUUGAUAUCUUGAAACUGGUGGCACAUACGUUUAUAACACAAAAAUAGGCAAUGCUAGAAACCAGGGGUUCUCCCACUUCCCUUGCCUAGAAAGCUGGUUUGCCAGAAAAGCCACAGUGAAGAAAGAUUGCUUCCAUAUCUAUCUCUGUGCCCAAAUUCAUGCAAUAAAUUCUUCGCUGU